rnacentral:lncRNA from 1 species
CAAUUUUUGCAACAACAUAUCAAGAGAAGGAAAAUAUUCAUCCAAUCCAUUGCCCGCUCCUUGACCUACCAAAAAUUAGCAUGAAUUAUGGUUAUCUAACAAAAUAAAGUGUAGCUUCUAAUGCCUACAAAACAGAAAGACUGAAUCCAAUCAAUUGGCAUAAACACCAUAACUACAUGAGCUGAGUUACCUAGAGAAAUAGUAAUUUCUUCCACUAAAAAUUAUCCUACAUGAUGAAUCUACGUACAAUAUUGGUAAAAUUGCAUUGUAUCGCACAUACAAUCAAGUGCAACCUAGGUUGGAUUCUAUCAAUUAAAGACUUGAACAAAAGUUAUUGGUCUUGUGGUUCAAGUACAAACAAAUGUGUCAAGUAAUUAGAUUAUGAUAACUAUUGCAGUUUAUAAACUGCAACGUGUAGUUGUGAAAAUAAUGUGAAGGAGGACCCAACCUCUUUCUCUGUAUUUUGAUUGAGCUUUCUAUCAUUUUUCAUUAUCUCUGUGAAUAAUGCCCUCUGCUUUCCUUGAAUCCAAAUUUCAGGAACCAAACUCAGUCUCAAUGUUUCAUCAAAUAAAUAACCAAAGCUUAAACUCCUACCGUCUUUCGGCAGAAAUAAAAACUAAUUAACAAAUUAAUGCACAACUUAAUACUCGACAAUUGAUAAACAAUUAUAUAAAAACAAAAGACUGGCCUAUCAGAAUCAAAAUAUUUGUAUAUAUACCUACAUACAUGGGAGUAUUGACAGAACGACAAAAUUAAAAAAUUUGAUGGACUAUUAUUUCUGAAUGAGCAUUCAGUCUUGCUCACCAUUGAAACUGUGGCUUAAGGUCUUACAAAUAUAAAUACGUAAAAUUAUUAUGAGUUCAAAUACAAAAUCAAGAAAAUAGACUUUUAUAUGAUGCUCUACUCAACUGGGGCUCUUUAUGUAAGUCCAUUUUCUUAAACAAAAAAAAAAAAAAAAACAAACAUUGAGAAGAUGAUUGAUAUAGCUGGAAUGGAUACAGACUCUUCAAAAUAUAUACAUAUAUGUCUGGAAGUAAAACCUUCAGUGGGAAAAGGUGUUGAUGCAGCAGAAGGAAUGAAACCAUUUGAAUCCAAAAAUUUACAUGGUUUUGGCUCUACCAGUCAUAUGAAAUUUACAUGAUUGGUUUUGGUUAAACCAAUCAUAUGAAACAAAAUAAAUUGAAAUAGAGGGUGUCAUAAUCUUUCUUUCAAUAAAUAUCACCCAAAUCAUCUGCCAGCCAUGCCAUGUCACAUGGCACUCCAUCCCUUAACUCACCCGUUAAUCCUUACACAAAAACUUAGUGUGUCCCUUUACUGAUGCAUAAUGCAAACAUAUUAACUCUAACAAAACUUCUAUUAGAAAAAAUUAACUAUACACGUUUCAACCUAUAACACAGUUCUACUAAUGAACUGCUAUAAAAAUAAAUAUAGCAAUGAAAAAUAAUUGUGUAAUGGUUGUGGUUUAUUGGCAGCAAUUAUAAGUUUUGUCAUACUCAAAUCUAUUAUAUUCUCUCGUACUAUUAUUAAUUUAUUCUUACAAUCAAGUCCCCUGCCUAGUGUUUGGCCACGAUGUUAUCUACUUAUCCAAUAUGUACAUCACAGUUUUGUGAAGAACUCAUUGAACAUAACCCACAGAAAAGAGUUACCGGUUACGCACUAGAGUCUAGUAUUAGAAAAAUUCUGGUUAUAAUGGGAGUCAGCAAUAUUCAGCUGAAUCAAGUGCAUGCAAAAGGUUAUAUGGUACUUUGGCAUCAUUGCUUUGGUUUUUAGUUUUGGACGAACGAGGAGAGUCUCCUCGAAAAAAUAUUAACUGAAACUAAAAGUUGGUUGUUACAAGAAAAAGGCUAACAAGUACAACAGCAGGGCAGUAUGUAAAAGUAUGCAUCUUAGGUUCCUUUGUUUGUAGGGCAAAUGAUUAAAAAUUCCAACACAAUACACAAACUCACUCUCUAGCUAGGCGCCUGAUUCAUGUAAACCUCAAAAACAUAUCCCUAUUAAUCAGCUAAUGUAGAUUAACAAGACAAAAUUAUAACUAACCAGAAAAACAAAAACCCAAUACUGUAGGCAUGCUAUUCUACAAAAUUACCCUUCACUUAAUUCCAAAUUUACCCUCCAUUUAAUCUAAUAAAUGUUAUGGGGCAUAUAUGUGUAAACUGGUCUGGCCCAUCUAUAUUCUAUAUGUAUGUUUUAUAACGGAUGCAGUGAAAGUCAAGAAGACAUAGUUGAAUAUUUUAGCUAAUGAGGGAUUAAAGCUGUAGUUAUUGAUUUAUGAGAUGAACACUAUUACAAAGUAUUUCUCUCAUCAACCCCAUUACAAUUUCCCUACCUUUACAAUUUAGUUUCAUAAAAAAGAUUGACCCCUUAGCUGAUUACACAGUAGUCCAGAUAAAUUUCGGAACACAAGAAAUUCAUAGGUUGAAAGCAUAAGUUGAAAAAGACUAAUAAUCAACAACAAUACUUAAGGAUGAUAUGAUAGGUAGAAAUAGAGUCAAAUAGGUCGUACAGGGGAUAGUACGCUCAGCCUAGCUAAGGGAUGCAUGUAACAAAUUUUGUUAUUCAAGUCACGUUUAAUUGAGUCCAUAACGCAAAUUUGCAAGAAUUAACUGCAUUGAUUGAUAGCUAUUACACAGUAGUCCAUAUAAAUUUCAGAAUGCAAGAAAUUCAUAGGUUGGAAAAGCUAAAAUUAAUAAAGCAAAGCAUGGCAGAGAGCAUAGAUUGAAAAAGACUAAUAAGCAGCAAGAAUACCUAAGGGUGAUAUGAUAGGUAGAAAUAGAGUCAACCUAUACCUGAUGCUUUGAUUCCUUUCAAAAUAAUUUAGUUAGUUGAAAAAGAUGUUGUAAUGUCUUAUGUUGAUGAGUUCAGAUGUUAAUGUGAACCUGCAUGAGCAGAGCAGAUAUGACGAAUCACAUUAAAUUCAUAAAAACAACAGUAUGUUAUUAUUAUUGAAUCUUAUUUGAUGAUUAGAUAAUUUGAUGAAGAAGAUUGUCACACAGAUUAUGCAAAAUAAGAGUUGUAUUCGGAGAUUAUCAAAAAAAUAAAAAAUAAAAUUGUGCGAGCACCACCAGUGGGAUGAAUGAAUGAUUAGAAAAUCUAGUAGUUAUGAAAGCAAAAAUCUGUAAGUCGAAGGUGUAUAAAAUAUGAAGGGAUUUCCUACUCCUAUACCUAAAAAAUUCAUUGCCUUAUAAUAGUGUUGAGAUGAAAAAAGAAAAUCAUACCUUAUAUAUAAACUUAACUAUUACGAAAAGAGGCAUUCAGACUUUAGCUAACCACUUCUGUCAGGCCUUUUCAUUUGUUAGCACAAUUAUUUGAAGUAGUUUUAGAGGCAAGUCGAUCACUCUUAGUUAAUUUGUAUGUCCCACAUCAUACUGUCCACUAAGGAAUUAAGUUAUUAUUUCUAUAGUAGUCACAAUCUUAAAGUCUGAGAGACAUAUAUGGGGUAGGAAAAUCAAUAGAAAAACCUCAUAACUGGAGUAAGUCUUAUAAAAAAAAAUUCCAACAUGGCAAAACCUAUCUCCAUUUGAGAGUUUCUAACACCACAGAUCCCCUUCACCAAUGUCUACUUCUUAACAUAGCAACAUGGAUAAAUNNNNNNNNNNNNNNNNNNNNNNNNNNNNNNNNNNNNNNNNNNNNNNNNNNNNNNNNNNNNNNNNNNNNNNNNNNNNNNNNNNNNNNNNNNNNNNNNNNNNNNNNNNNNNNNNNNNNNNNNNNNNNNNNNNNNNNNNNNNNNNNNNNNNNNNNNNNNNNNNNNNNNNNNNNNNNNNNNNNNNNNNNNNNNNNNNNNNNNNNNNNNNNNNNNNNNNNNNNNNNNNNNNNNNNNNNNNNNNNNNNNNNNNNNNNNNNNNNNNNNNNNNNNNNNNNNNNNNNNNNNNNNNNNNNNNNNNNNNNNNNNNNNNNNNNNNNNNNNNNNNNNNNNNNNNNNNNNNNNNNNNNNNNNNNNNNNNNNNNNNNNNNNNNNNNNNNNNNNNNNNNNNNNNNNNNNNNNNNNNNNNNNNNNNNNNNNNNNNNNNNNNNNNNNNNNNNNNNNNNNNNNNNNNNNNNNNNNNNNNNNNNNNNNNNNNCUGAGAGGUGAGGUCUAAAUCGCAACAUGGAUAAAUGUAAGUCGUAAGGCAUUACUCUUAGAUAUUAAAACUCUAUAAAGAAAGAAAAAAAGGGAUAAAAGAUGUAAAAAGAGUAAAGAAGAAAAAAAAUGAACUUGAUGAGAAAUUUACAGGUUGUUGUUGUUGAUGAUAAUGAUGACAGGAGAGAGAACGCAGAUGACAGAUUGUGAGAUUUGUUGUUAUUAACUAAAAAAUUCACGAUCAAACAACAGUGAUUGUAGUUAAUAGUCUUUAGAGAUUAAAACAGAUGUUAGAAGGAAUAUGAAGAGAAUAAAAAAAUUAAAACCAAUGCUAGUUCAUACCUUAGAUUCGAGAUUGGAGAUUCACAGAGAGAGGAAUUAAGGUUUGGUUGAAGCAAAGCAUUCGUAAAGAGAAAUAAUGGAAUAGGGCUUUCUAGAGGAAAAGAAAUAAUGUUUAGGAAAAAAGAAUAUACACAAUGUAGUUUUAAUAAUAUCCCAACCGUCAGAUCAUAAAUCUGCAUCGUACGGUCUUAGUUGUCUCUAUGUUUGUCUCUGGACAAACUUAUGUACCCGUUGUUGCUUAUAACUUAUGUAUUUUUCAGCCCAUCUACUUCAUGGUAUUUUAUAUAAACUCUUUUCCUCCACCACUCUCCUUGCGUUAGCUGCUAAAUUCCAUAUUCUUUUACUUGAAUACAUGUUAGCUAGAACAGCAUAGUUUCCCGAACUCAUGCUACAUCUAGAUAUACUGAAGAUACAGGUGCAUUAUCAAACCCUCCCACAAACAUUUCUCACGGUUCUAAGUAUAUGUACAAAAUUUACUGUAAUGUGGGAAGUGUGAUAAUUAAAGUUUGAGUAUAAGAGGGUAUUCUGAAUCCAAGGACUAACAAAAACUUACAAAAAAAAUCUAACUAUAGCUUGCAAGCCAACAUUUAAAAUAUCACAGUUCUUGAUUAUAAAAAAUGAUUGAGCUCAUUUUGCAACCUGCAGUCACACCCUUUAUUCUAACUUAUGUUUAUCGUCUUUACAAUCUAACCCUAGGAGUUGGACUGUUGAUUUGAAGGGACAUGCAAUAGUGGGAUUGGAUAUCUGUAAUGCCCAUGGUGCUCAAAUGAUUUCCUAUGUGAAUGAACGAAGUCACAGGAAAAUACUACUUAUCCACCCUACAUAUUUAGCUGCCUGAACAAUUGUAUCAAUGAAUACCAAGAAACAACUGGAAACCUUAAGGAACAAGAUGAGGCUUUUGACAAUAAGUCUUAUACCUCUGUGUAUGCAUUUACAAUAGCAGCAAUGACAAAUUAUGUUUUAUGCGAGGUCUGAUAAAGUGAUGACCCGAAGUACAAAUCUCCCCGACCCUAAAAAUCAACACUUCUCUUUUGAGGAUUUAAGUGAUUUUUUAUAGAUAAAAAUAGUGUUUGCGAGCACCUACUCAUCUUUCAUUACUUUACUAUGACUUCACAUUGUGCAUUUAUAAAUGAGCCAAAGGAUUAUACAAUUCAAGACAGACUUCUCGGUGGAUGUUACACUGAAUAGAAUGGAGCAGUAACCUGGACUUGGUUGGCAAUGACACCAUAGAGUUUGAAGCAAAUGGGAAACUUUUUGAAAAGAACUCUGCUAUCCGACCAUUGCAUGUAGAAAUUCUCACAAAUGCAUUUAGAAUCUCAAGAGAGGAGGCCAGGAGGUUAGAAUACAAUAGACAAUAGAUUGGACUUUUUGCACGAAGGUGUGAGUUCAGAGAAGGGAGUAUGCAAGUGCAUAGACCUCUUCUUGAUGGUGUAGAUCAGUUUGUUAUAGUUUAUGCGAGUAAUAAAGCCUCCAAGGAAUGGUAUAGUUAAAGCCUAUGUACAUGGUUGUAGUCUUAAUAAGUUAAUAAAACUUAUUCUAUUUUCUACUCUCGAAAUAAUGUGAGAUAAAAAUAGUGUUUGCGAAGACCUACUCAUGUUUCAUUACUUCGCUAUGAAUUCACAUUGUGAAUUUAUACAUGGGCCAAAGGAUUGUACAAUUCAAGACAGACUUCUUGGUGGAUGUUUCACUCAAAAAAAUCAAGCAGUAACCUGGACUUGUUUGGCAUUGACACCAGAAAGUUUGAAGCAAAGGGUAAACAUGGAGGUUUUUACUACUAACGCGAUGGACACGGUUUUUGAAUGUGAAGCAGUGAUCAGGGACGGGGGAUUUGCAAUGCUGCUGUAAGUCAAAACUGUGUAACUAUGCAGCAGCAGUACAAAAGCAAAGGAGAGAGCAAGCAGCAACACUGCAGCUGUAUCCCAAACUAAUUCUUCAAAUAACGAAGAUAACACCACUUCACCAAUGAAAAUACACUUGGACCUUCAACUGUUGGAAGACAGUGCUUCAACAAUUGGUCUACCGAACAGCUUUUGACUGUCAAUAGCAUUUAGAUAAUCUAUUUCUAUCUCUAGCACCUAAACCUAAAAUGGACUUCUAAUUCAAAAAUAACUUUAAAUUAUAGAUGUAAUACAAAAAUAACUUCUAAAAUUGGAUAGCUUAAAUUGUUUCUAACUGAUCUAUUGAUAGGUCUUUUCAUGGCAUCUCAGUAUCUCACUCUUAUUGGGUAGCAUAUCUUUGAAUAAAAUUUGAAAUUUUAUGUAUACGAUUAAGAAAAAUUAUAUAUUUAAAAUUUCAAUGUAAUUAAUAAGAUUGAUAGAGUUAUGUUAUUCUGAUGUUAAGAAAAUACUAUUUAUCACCCAGGAAUUGCCUAAAUAUUUCAUCAUACUGUCUGAUCUUAAGAUUGAAUGCACAUACUUUUAUUAACAUUCAAACUGUAUCAUCAUCUUAAAGGAAGGAUUAGUACCUUUAAAACAAGAGGAUUCACAGAAACCUUAAGCUGCUAAAGAGGAUUACCAAAGACCUUAAUUUCUGAUGAUAGGACAAUUAACUUAAAUUUCUACCCAAAGAAAAAAAUCAGCAAACGCCAAACGCGUUGGUAGGUUGAUUUUUGGUAACUACUAUUAGGGGUGGUAGGGUAGGGUAAGUGGUCUCACUGAUGGUGUUCCCCAAACAUUAUUACAACUUGUAAAUUUGGGUUGAAUUUAUUCUGUAUUGGAGUAAAUCAGAAUGGAGAAUAAAAAUCAAAAAUCACUUACCCUUCCUUCUUCAUCAAAACAACAAGCAAUCACUUAAAUAAUCCAACAUAGCAAUAUCAUCAUUAUUAGAAAGGAAAAAGAAAAAAACAGAAAAUUAGAUUACCUUUGAUCACGAAUUACAACUUUAGCUUUAAUUCCUCUACAAAAUCCUCGCAAAUCUGAAACCAAUGUUCAUAUUGAAAUUUUUAGAUAGAAUUUUAUAAACAUUGGGUAUUUGAAUGAUCAUUCUGCCUAGCCAAAAAUCAUUGAUGUUAAUCUUGUUGGUUUUUAUUUUUUUGGCUUCAUUAAUAACACCAGAUAUGUUCAUGAUUUAAUACAUCUCUGUUUAGUUCUUAUCUCUAACAAUAGCUGCAUUUUUUCUCUAGAAUUGUUUUUUAAUAAAUUGUGACUUUUAUGUUUUCGUUACAUAAGCAAAUUUUUUCAUCACCUAUGUAUUGACAUCAGGGGGGCAAGUCUGACUUCUGAACUAAUAAAACUUUUCGCCCGACUCUGCAGUUUCUUCUAUAUAUUUGUUCUCUGCAACAGUUAAUUAUAUUUGUGAUUCUUUUAAUGCACAGUAGAAUGAUAAACCAAAUUUUUAGAUAGAAUUUGAAUUUGAAUUUUUAGUUAUACUAUCAAUUUUUAAGCUUAAAUUGAUAGUAUUAAUUUGAAAUUUUAGGUAUAGUGAUAAACUUACUUUUCUAUUAGUAAAAAAAUCAAAGGGUACCUGAUUUAUUCGAUUGAUGAGUAAAAAAAUCUUCUAUUAACGACGAUAAAGAAAGAGAGUUUAAAGAAAGGGAGAUAUUGAAUAGCCAAUUUUGAUCGGAGGGAGAGAGAUCAAGGUUUGGAAAAGAUGUUGUCCGAGAGAGAUUGACGAAAGAGAUUGAAUAACCAAUUUUGAUAAAAAAAAAAAAAAAAAAAAAAAAAAACCACUGUGUAACUUAGGCCCAACCGUAACUUAAGCCCAACAGACGAAUGAAACUUAAACCCACGUUUAUAACUUAUAUAAGUUAUAAAGAUACACUGUGAUCGAGGUAAUUCAAGGGUUCGGAUCUGAUUUCGACUCCCAACUUAAAAUCUGAUCCGUCCACUGUCAAAUUUUAUAUAAGUUUGUCUCCGAAACUUGAGAUUGCCUCAGAAAUUCAACAAGUUGAAUUAUAAAUUCUAACUUGAAUCAUGUGCAUAAGUUUGUAAGUGUAUCCAACAAGUCCAUGUGUGUCCGACACAAAUUUUUUUGACUACACGGAGUGUCCAUGUUACAUAGCUAUUAGGACUUUUUACUUAUUUGUAAUGAUCUACUACUUUGUUAAUUGGUAAAAUGGGAUGGAAGUUAAUUGAAUGAUUAUAUAUGUAUGAUAAUGGUGCUUUUGAUUGUUUAGUCAAUUUAGAAUUGUUUAUAAUUGAUUAUGAUGGUGCUGGUAAAGACGGACAAGAUUAUGAAAACGAAGACAAGGAGGUCAUAGUUCAAGUUAAAUAGGGUGGAGACUAUUGUUCAGACGAUGUUUGCGAUCACUGAUUACCUAAUGCUCAAAUUUAGUGAUAUUAUGCGGUCAUUAUACGGUUUGUACUUUUAUUAAUUAUAGAUAGAAAUCUACUUCUACCUAUAAACUCCAUUAGAAAGAGAGUCGAGGAGGACGUACAAACUCCAAAUUUAUUUUGGGGUGUUUGUACUUUUCUCUCUUCUAUUUGAUCGAUAUUUCUGUACCUUCAUUUGGCAUAGCAUAUUACCAACGGACUAUACCAACGAUAAUGCAACAGGAAACCCUUACCCUCCACCGACGCAUCCUGGCUAUGGCCAACCUACACAGUCUGCAGGCUAUGGUCAGCCUAUGCAACCUGGUCAUAACCUGUCCAAACCAUCGUUUUGCAGACACAUUCUCCUGCUUUGACAUUCUCCUGCUUUAGUCAGACCGUCCCAUUUGUGUGGACUCGUUGAUCACUCACCAUUUAUGAGAUGUGUUGAAUUCUGUUAAUGGGAGUCCUUUUAAAAUAAUUUUGUUAAAGAAUUAUUAUUUUUAAAUAAUCAUAAUUUAAAAAUAUGCUAUCCUCAGCUCUUUUUUUUAGAAGUAGACACACACUAUAUGUUCCUGAACAUACAGUCUGCACCAUAAUUCUACUCCUAAUUUUUCUAAUCAAACCAAUUUUUGAAUUUGUGUUCCUGAACAUAUAGAUCUAUGGCUUAGAUUUAGGUCUCUUUCUAUCCUUCACUCCAUCUCUCACCCUCAUCUCUCCAUGAUUUUUCUUCUUCUGAUGUUCUCUGCUUCCCUGCUUCUCUGGUUCAAGCAAUAAUUGAUACUCCUACUAUGUUUUUUUUUAGUGUUUUCUUCAGGAGUAGGUAUUUGCACAGUAAUUUUAAUCCUUCUCUACGUAAUCAAGAAUAAACAAAAUUGUAGGCGAACAUGCUGUUAUUGAAUUGAAUCAAGAAUAAAAAAAAAUAUCAAAUAAAAGCAAUUGCUAGAUAACAAAAGUAUUGAAGAUUAAGAGUUAAAAAAUUACCCCAACUCUUUGAUAUUGCAACUAAACCUCUGAAUCAAAUACUUGCAGAUUGUGAUAUUGCAACUAAACCUUUGAAUCAACUUCUCAAAGGGUACCUGAUUUAUUCGAUUGAUGAGUAAAAAAAUCUUCUAAAUCUUCUAUUAACGGUGAUAAAGAAAGAGAGUUUAAAGAAAGGGAGAGAUUGAAUAGCCAAUUUUGGUCAAAACUGUAACAGUUGAAAUAAAAUUCGAAGUUGAAGAAGAGUUUGGAGUGAAAAGAAGUUACUAAUUAGAAAAGGUAUUUCAAUUGAAGAAGAAGAAGAGAUUGAUCAAUUACCUGAGAUAGAGCAAAGCAUCUUGUCGAACGUUAAAACUUAAAACUACUACUUCUUCUUCUUCUUCUUCUUCUGCUUCUUCGCCCUUUGCUUUUCUCCCUCUUCUCAAAGUUUUCCCCUUUCUCUUGGUUUCGUUUGUAUAUAUAAAAAGACACAAGAUUUCAAUUUUGGAAGAAAAACUAAAGAGAUUGAAUACUAAAUUUUGAUAAAUAAAAAGCCCACCGUGUAACUU